rnacentral:misc_RNA from 1 species
GUUGACGAAAGAGAAGGAGAAAGUUGAGUUAGUUUCUCAAGAGCUUGAUGAGUUAAGGCUUCAGACAACUCAGCAGCUUGAGAUAGUAACGAAGAAGUUAAGAGAAGCAGAUGAGGAGAAAAGUUUGCUUCUUUCUACUUCCCAACAGUAUCAGAAUACUAUAUCAUCAGCCGAGGCAAGAGAAAGAGAAUAUAGGAAGCANGAAUUCAACUAUUGUUCUUAUCCAAGGAUUGGAAAAAGCAGUUAAUGAUUUUGAAUACCGGGCCA